rnacentral:pre_miRNA from 1 species
CAACUACUCCCUCUGUCCCAAAUUUCUUGUCUUAGAUUUGUCUAGAUACUGAUGUAUCUAAUACUAAAAUGUGACUUGAUACAUCCGUAUCUAGACAAAUCUAUGACAAGAAUUUUGGGAUGGAGGGAGUACUUU